GGGGACCUUCGGGGCCCUAUAACCAUCUCGGCCUCAACAUGUUGAAGUCGGGCACAAGCAAAACGGAAGACAGAAA
rfam:Roseobacter sp. GAI101 scf_1106754216546 genomic scaffold, whole genome shotgun sequence.